rnacentral:lncRNA from 1 species
AUCAUCUCUUGAAGCUUCACUUCAACUUCACUACUUCUGUAGUCUCAUCUUGAGUAAAAGAGAACCCAGCCAACUAUGAAGUUCCUUGUCUUUGCCUUCAUCUUGGCUCUCAUGGUUUCCAUGAUUGUAAGUAUAUCAGGACAUUUGAAGAAUAUGUUCUCAGUACCUAUCCCAAGAGUCUCUCUAUUCCUUGUGUUCUGGCAUAUAUUGGUGUUUACUUGAAUACAGCUUUAUAUGUUUAAAUGUUUCCAUAUGAACUUUUUUUUGUACUAACCUACAUAAGCUAUAUAAGGAUUUAGAAUAAAUAGUCAUUAUUCAUCUACAGACACUAAAGUAUAUUUAGCUUAGUGUGAAAUAAAAGAAAGUUUUACUGAACUUCUUAAAUAUGUGGAACUGAGAGCUUCUAAAAGUAUCUUUAAACAUGUAAUGCUCUAGACAAUCUGAAGUUAGAAAUCUCAGGAAUGAACUAGGUGCACUUGAGUGGAAUUCAAGUAUUAGAAGAUGUCAAAGUAGAAAUUUUCAAGUCAUUCCUUGCAAAAACUAACUUAAAAUUAGUAUACAAUUAUUUAGCACACACUUUCUAAAAUAAAGCUGCUUAUUUUUAACUAUAAAACAAAACUUCAGAUCUAUGACAUGUUAUGAGUUCCCAGCUUUUAUUGUCAUUUACUACUAUGUAUCACUAGGUAAAGCACUUGACUUCUCUGGAGCUCUUUCUUCUACUCUACUUCCUUCUAUUUCUCCUGUCCCUUUUCUAUGACAUUAGUAGGAAACUGGCCAUGAAA